UUUCCGUAGGCGAACCUGCGGAAGGAUCAUUACUGAGUGAGUGCCCCUCGGGGUCCACCCUCCCACCCGUGUUUAACGAACCUUGUUGCUUCGGCGGGCCCGCCCCACGCCCGCCGGGGGGCCGCUGCCCCCGGGCCCGCGCCCGCCGAAGCAACCCGUGAACGCUGUCUGAAGUAUGCAGUCUGAGACAAUUAUUAAAUUAAUUAAAACUUUCAACAACGGAUCUCUUGGUUCCG
rnacentral:misc_RNA from 1 species